UCUGUGGGCCCCAGGAGCCCCGGGAAAACCUGGGGGAGAAUGGGCAUCCCACCCCAGCACUUUCUAGGAAGAAGGGCAACAUUUUGAAGGGCUGGAAGUAGAGAAAGAAGGUUGCGGGUAGAAGACUCCAUACUUUCUGUGACGCCUAUUCCUUAGGUAGGAACUUAGGAACCUCAGGAAUCAAGCCUAUCUGUAAUCACAGGGCUAUUUGAAAAAGAGAAGAAAAGGUGUCUUGAAAUUAAACCAACAUGUUUCAAUUAUUUGCUCCUAAGAACAACAGAAGUUUCAACAUUCUGCCAACAGAGUAACUCCUGGGAGACUGGCACAGAAGAAGGCACAAGGAGAGCUUUUAUAUAACCAAAGAUAUUUUUGGACCAUGAAUUCGGAAAUUCUCGGAGCCACCCAUCAAUGCCUGAGCUUCAGUGAGUCCAUAUCCCAUGUCACCUACGGCAAAGGAGAAUCCGAGACUUCUGAAGAGUUUCUUGCUUCUUUCCUGUGGGGCAGUGACUCCACUUCCCAGCAGUAAUGGAAUAUCCUGAAUUAGCUACAUUAAUGUUAGAACCAUUUGGACCUCACCCAGGACUUCAACUACAUUGUGCUAAAGUUACAGAAUCCAAAUUUGGCAACUGCCUGCAUCUGAACAACAGAAGUUUCAACAUUCUGCCAACAGAGUAACUCCUGGAUGACUGGCACAGAAGAAGGCACAAGGCAAAUACCCAUCUCUGUACACCCUGUGCUACUGUGUCAUGUGCUGCUCCAGGCAACUCCAAUGGAUUGGCCACCCUGGCCAAUGUGCCCUCCAAACACCAGCACUGAGUAGAAAGAGGCUCUGAUUCAUGAAAUGUGAAUUUAUGACAGUUGCCACUCUUUAAAAAAAAACAGACAGAACUUGAGCAAUACAUGACUGAUGCAUUCUCAGCCUGCUUCCUGUGUUCCAUCUGUCUUUCUGGCAGUGCAUUCACCCUCCAGGUUUGAAAGUAGUCGGUGAAACUUUCUACAUUCCACAUUUUCUAUCAAGAAAAGAAAGAGGUUGUAUUGUGAGGUAAGAGGCACACACACGGACUUCCUUCAGUCCCUGCAAUCCUUGCUAUAGGUCAGGCAUCAAGACAAUUCCACUUUACAGGUCUGGAUUUUGGAGAAAGAAAGGUUCUAGUAUGUUAGGUUUAUGUUCCCCUGCUUUCUACAAUCCUGUUCAAAGAGUUGCUGACUUAACCACAGAGAGAAUUCCAGAACAUGAGACACAGAAUAAACUUGAGCAAUCAUAGUCCAUCCACUUCAUUUUCUCAUCGAAAACCAAAGGUCCAGUGAAGCUCUGGAACUCGACGCUGUAAAGGAGCGAAGGAACAUCUAUACAGAACCUGGAUGCCUGUCUCCUUAUCCUACUUCAGCGGACUUGACUGCAAUCCGGAUUAUGCUGUUUUCUAAGCAUUUAAAAUAAAAUAAAAAGUGUAAUAGUGUGAUAAGUUCUUUCACAAAGCAAGUAAUCACAUUUAUGUUUCAACUUACAUUUGGGUUUUCCAAAUAUGUGUGUGUGUGUG